CGUUCCUAUGCGACAUGCCAGCGCAACAAAAUGGAGGCCCUCCAUCCCGCCGACCUGCUCCAACCCCUUGACGUUCCUUCACAAGAGUGGGCUGACAUCUCCUUGGCAGAUACCUUUAUUCAGCGUAGGUUAGGCUCAAGCAAUCCCUGCAGAGAAAAGCAUCCACGAAAAAAGAUUCAGUGAGAUUGAGAACCAUGCAACCGUGAGAAGUAUUUUUCACUUGAUGCCAGUACAUGUUCAUGUUGUUUAUCAAUCAGUGUGUGCUAUGGUAGAGUUCAAAUGCUUGAAGUUGUCCAGAGCAUAUACUACAGGACAGUAUCUGGAGAUAGAUUCAAGAAAGAAAAUACCAAAAAUGAAGGGUGGAGGGUAAUACCAGCUCUGCUGGGAGCGCUGUUAUAUUGUUGUCUAACAAGUCAAGCUCGAUCAGAACAGUGAAAUUCUUUA